AUCUAUGUUUGUCCAUGUACAUGUUGAUUAAAGUAUUAAAAACUUACAAACUAAAAUAUUUUAUCGCGAUUAAUCCCACGAUUGGCGCGAGCUAACUAGCGAUUAAUCGCGAUUAAAUAUUUUAGUUGAUUGACAGCCCUCGUUUAAAUACAAGUGAAUUUUGUUCUAUAAUUCUUACAUUUUGUAAAGCUGCUUUGAGACCAUGUCCAUUAUGAAAACCGCUAAAGAAAUAAACUUGAAUUUAAUUAAAAAAUACUGUAAGCUGGAGGUACGUCCCAAAGAGGUGGGAAUCGUUUUUUGUUCUUUUCUUUUCUUUUUUCUCUUUCUGCCAUCUUCUACUUAUUAUCUCACAGGUGCUGAAUCCACUAAUGAUAGUUUUGCAGGAGCUCUAUUGCAGCACCAAUCAGUGCCAUCAUUUUCCCAAGAUUCUAGAUUGAGUUUGUACAAUAAAGAGAGAAGAUAAAAGCAACAAGCACUUUUUGACGUUCUGGUGCUCAGUAGCGCCAACCAGAGGACAGCAGUUUAUAAAAUUGGUGAACCAGGUUCGUGACUAUUAGUUCUUUACUUAAAAAAGUAAUAUUUGGCAAAGUUCUUUGAUGUGCAAGGAAUCAAACAUGUUCUAAUGUUGUUACUAAAAAACAGUGAACUUCACUGUAGGUCAUUUUCCUGUAGCUGUAAGCAAUCGUUUCCACUAUAAGUAUAUUAUUUCUUACUUAAAGCACUAAAUCACAACAGAACCAGAAGAAACAGCACUAAUACAACAGCCAUUUGUUUUGUUUUUUGUAUUUAUUUACAAAAUUCACGUUUUUGUAAUUCGGAAUACUUCCAAGUGCUUCGAGAAGUACCAAAAAGGUCCUAAAGGUGCAUCGUGUAGGAAAAAACAAAACAAAAUAGGAAGCUCUUUUUUCUUUCAACUACUGAAAAGAAAUGUAAGAAUGAUCACAGGUUAAUACUCUUGCUUUUGGUCUGCAACUUCUAAUAACUGCGACGGAAGCCUUUUAUAAAAUGUGAAAAGGAAAAUCUCGUACCUAAUGCACCUUGACUGUACAGCAUCUUAAUGCUAGUGUUAAUACAAUAUUGCACACGCAGAUCAGA